AGCCGCGCUUCAUGCCCUGCGCUGCCCAGACUAGCGAACAAUACAGUCAGGAUGGCUAAAGGUGACCCCAAGAAACCAAAGGGCAAGAUGUCCGCUUAUGCCUUCUUUGUGCAGACGUGCAGAGAAGAACAUAAGAAGAAAAACCCAGAGGUCCCUGUCAAUUUUGCAGAAUUUUCCAAGAAGUGCUCUGAGAGGUGGAAGACGAUGUCCAGGAAAGAGAAAUCUAAAUCUGAUGAAAUGGCAAAGGCAGAUGAAGUGCGCUAUGAUCAGGAAAUGAAGGAUUAUGGACCAGCUAAGGGAGGCAAGAAGAAGAAGGAUCCUAAUGCUCCCAAAAGGCCACCGUCUGGAUUCUCCCUGUUCUGUUCAGAAUUCCACCCCAAGAUCAAAUCCACAAACCCCGGCAUCUCUAUUGGAGACGUGGCAAAAAAGCUGGGUGAGAUGUGGAAUAAUUUAAAUGACAGUGAAAAGCAGCCUUACAUCACUAAGGCGGCAAAGCUGAAGGAGAAGUAUGAGAAGGAUGUUGCUGACUAUAAGUCGAAAGGAAAGUUUGAUGGUGCAAAGGGUCCUGCUAAAGUUGCCCGGAAAAAGGUGGAAGAGGAAGAUGAAGAAGAGGAGGAGGAAGAAGAGGAGGAGGAGGAGGAUGAAUAAAGAAACUGUUUAUCUGUC